rnacentral:rRNA from 1 species
AGUUGUAUCCUGGCUCAGGAUGAACGCUGGCGGUAUGCCUUAUACAUGCAAGUCGUACGAAAGUUUUUAACUUUAGUGGCGGACGGGUGAGUAACACGUAAGAAUUUACCCUUAGGAGGGGGAUAACAAUUGGAAACAGUUGCUAAUACCCCAUAAUGCUUAAAUAAGUUAAAUGGUUUUCCGCCUAGGGAGAAGCUUGCGGCUGAUUAGCUUGUUGGUGAGGUAAUGGCUCACCAAGGCGACGAUCAGUAUCUGGUUUGAGAGGACGAUCAGACACACUGGAACUGAGACACGGUCCAGACUCCUACGGGAGGCAGCAGUAGGGAAUUUUCCGCAAUGGGCGAAAGCCUGACGGAGCAAUACCGCGUGAGGGAUGACUGCCCAUGGGUUGUAAACCUCUUUUUUCAGGGAGGAAUAAAUGACGUGUACCUGAAGAAUAAGCAUCGGCUAACUCCGUGCCAGCAGCCGCGGUAAGACGGAGGAUGCAAGUGUUAUCCGGAAUCACUGGGCGUAAAGCGUCUGUAGGUUGCACAAUAAGUCAACUGUAAAAUCUUGAAGCUCAACUUCAAAACCGCAGUCGAAACUAUUGAGCUCGAGUAUAGUAGAGGUAAAGGGAAUUUCCAGUGGAGCGGUGAAAUGCGUAGAUAUUGGAAAGAACACCGAUGGCGAAGGCACUUUACUGGGCUAUUACUGACACUCAGAGACGAAAGCUAGGGUAGCAAAUGGGAUUAGAUACCCCAGUAGUCCUAGCUGUAAACAAUGGAUACUAGGUGUUGAACAGAUCGACCUGUGCAGUGCUAAAGCUAACGCGUUAAGUAUCCCGCCUGGGAAGUAUGCUCGCAAGAGUGAAACUCAAAGGAAUUGACNGGGGCCCNCAC